UACGUAGGGUGCAAGCGUUGUCCGGAAUUAUUGGGCGUAAAGAGCUCGUAGGCGGUCUGUCGCGUCUGCUGUGAAAACCUGGGGCUUAACUCCGGGCCUGCAGUGGGUACGGGCAGACUAGAGUGCGGUAGGGGAGACUGGAAUUCCUGGUGUAGCGGUGAAAUGCGCAGAUAUCAGGAAGAACACCCGUGGCUAAGGCGGCUCUCUAGUACGGUACUGACGCUGAGACGCGAAAGCGUGGGGAGCGAACAGG
rnacentral:rRNA from 1 species